CUCUAAUAUUAUUUUCGAUGUUCAAGUUUAUGGACUUGUUCCAAUAAAGUAUUAGAUAUUAAAGAGGUUUAUUCCUUCCGCAAAAGGUAAAAAAAGAUUAGGUUUUAGUAUAACCCAGUAAGAAAUGAAAGGCAUACUAAAAU
rnacentral:ncRNA from 12 species